GACGAACGCUGGCGGCGUGCCUAAUACAUGCAAGUAGAACGCUGAAGCGAGGAGCUUGCUCUUCUUGGAUGAGUUGCGAAAGGGUGAGUAACGCGUAGGUAACCUGCCUUGUAGCGGGGGAUAACUAUUGGAAACGAUAGCUAAUACCGCAUAACAAUGGAUGACACAUGUCAUUUAUUUGAAAGGGGCAAUUGCUCCACUACAAGAUGGACCUGCGUUGUAUUAGCUAGUAGGUGAGGUAAUGGCUCACCUAGGCGACGAUACAUAGCCGACCUGAGAGGGUGAUCGGCCACACUGGGACGGAGACACGGCCCAGACUCCUACGGGAGGCAGCAGUAGGGAAUCUUCGGCAAUGGGGGCAACCCUGACCGAGCAACGCCGCGUGAGUGAAGAAGGUUUUCGGAUCGUAAAGCUCGGUUGUAAGUCAAGAACGGGUGUGAGAGUGGAAAGUUCACACUGUGACGGUAGCUUACCAGAAAGGGACGGCUAACUACGUG
rnacentral:rRNA from 1 species